GUGAUAGGUCCCCGCCCCCUUUCUCUCUCUGUUGCUUAAUUCAUAUCCAGUUCGAAGUUUGUGAGCGCUGUAAGUAAUAGAUAAGAUGGUGGUGCGGAUGGUGUACGGUUUGGCAUUCAUUUCUGUCUCCUGCGCCUUCUUGAAGCUCCUCCAUCUUUUCCUUAUCCCGAUAUUCUACUUCACUUCGCUGGAGCUGGAGUGGGUUGAGACAGAAGCGCGCUUUUGCAGCUCUGCUACAUUUUUGGCGGGUUCGGCCCAUGCCUUCUACUUUAUUUUCUUAACAGAGGGAAUCUAUUUUUCUUACUUUUGCCCUUCACUUCGCACGAGGUGCGGGGGCUUUAUCAACCCGGAUCCAUUUUCAUCCUUAGUUUGCAGCAGCAGUUGUGAAAAAUGAUGUGUAUUCAAUGGAAAAUAGUAUGAGAAACUUAGGAGGUGUUACUCUCUAUGGAGAUGAGAAUAGAGGGGAAAAUAUAAGAAAAGGAGAGUAUGUCUUGUUAUUUGCUUUUCUAUUUUUUUUUUUUUUCCAUCGUUGUAAUAAACCAUGAAUUGCAAAGCGGGGGAACGAUUUUAAAUUGAGUUUUCCAGUGUGAUUUGGGUUU